CGGGGUGUGGCGCAGUUGGUAGCGCGCACGGCUGGGGGCCGUGAGGUCGCUGGUUCAAGUCCAGUCACCCCGACCA
rnacentral:tRNA from 1 species